rnacentral:rRNA from 1 species
GACGAACGCUGGCGGCGUGCUUAACACAUGCAAGUCGAACGGAAAGGCCCUGCUUUUGUGGGGUGCUCGAGUGGCGAACGUGUGAGUAACACGUGAGUAACCUUCCCUUUACUUUGGGAUAACUUCAGGAAACUGGGGCUAAUACCGGAUAGGAGCUCCUGCUGCAUGGUGGGGGUUGGAAAGUUUCGGAGGUUGGGGAUGGACUCGCGGCUUAUCAGCUUGUUGGUGGGGUAGUGGCUUACCAAGGCUUUGACGGGUAGCCGGCCUGAGAGGGUGACCGGCCACAUUGGGACUGAGAUACGGCCCAGACUCCUACGGGAGGCAGCAGUGGGGAAUAUUGCACGAUGGGCGGAAGCCUGAUGCAGCAACGCCGCGUGCGGGAUGACGGCCUUCGGGUUGUAAACCGCUUUCGCCUGUGACGAAGCGUGAGUGACGGUAAUGGGUAAAGAAGCACCGGCUAACUACGUG